AUUGAACGCUGGCGGCAGGCCUAACACAUGCAAGUCGAACGAGCGGCGGACGGGUGAGUAAUGUCUGGGAAACUGCCCGAUGGAGGGGGAUAACUACUGGAAACGGUAGCUAAUACCGCAUAUCAUCGGAUGUGCCCAGAUGGGAUUAGCUUGUAGGUGAGGUAACGGCUCCCCAAGGCUACGAUCCCUAGCUGGUCUGAGAGGAUGACCAGCCACACUGGAACUGAGACACGGUCCAGACUCCUACGGGAGGCAGCAGUGGGGAAUCUUGCGCAAUGGGCGCAAGCCUGAUGCAGCCAUGCCGCGUGUAUGAUGAAGGCCUUCGGGUUGUAAAGUUCUUUCAGCGGGGAGGCGUUACCUGCAGAAGAAGCCCCGGCUAACUCCGUGCCAGCAGCCGCGGUAAUUC
rnacentral:rRNA from 1 species